rnacentral:rRNA from 1 species
AUUGAACGCUGGCGGCAGGCCUAACACAUGCAAGUCGCACGAGUGGCGGACGGGUGAGUAAUGUCUGGGAAACUGCCUGAUGGAGGGGGAUAACUACUGGAAACGGUAGCUAAUACCGCAUACCAUCAGAUGUGCCCAUAUGGGCGUAGCUAGUUGGGGGGGUAACGGCUCACCAAGGCGACGAUCCCUAGCUGGGCUAAGAGGAGGACCAGCCACGCGGGAACGGAGACACGGGCCAGACUCCUACGUGAGGCAGCAGUGGGGAAGAUUGCAGAAUGGGCGGAAGCCUGAUGCAGCCAUGCCGCGUGUAUGAAGAAGGCCUUCGGGUUGUAAAGUACUUUCAGCGGGGAGGCGUUACCCGCAGAAGAAGCACCGGCUAACUCCGUGCCAGCAGCCGCGGUAAUUC